rnacentral:rRNA from 1 species
UACGAAGGGGGCUAGCGUUGCUCGGAAUCACUGGGCGUAAAGCGCACGUAGGCGGCUUUUUAAGUCAGGGGUGAAAUCCUGGAGCUCAACUCCAGAACUGCCUUUGAUACUGAGAGCUUGAGUCCGGGAGAGGUGAGUGGAACUGCGAGUGUAGAGGUGAAAUUCGUAGAUAUUCGCAAGAACACCAGUGGCGAAGGCGGCUCACUGGCCCGGUACUGACGCUGAGAUGCGAAAGCGUGGGGAGCAACAGG